rnacentral:lncRNA from 1 species
GUUCAGCAAAGGGCUUCACUUCUCAGCCUGCAGAACUUUCCGCCCGUGAGUGUGGGUUACAUCUAUACAUACACAGGAAAUCAUAUACUCCCACUCAGCCACCCACAUCUAAACAUGGUAGUAUUAGGAAAAAUAGGAAAGCAACAUCCUACUAGAUUACAUUGUUUACAGUGAAACCAUUUAAACCCCUGAGCCUCUGUGUCACCAAUUAACACUGCGUGUAAGGAGAAUGCCUGCCCCGUGGGGGUUUGUAAAGACAAAAUGUAAAAAUAAAAUGUAGGCUGGGCGCGGUGGCUCAAGCCUGUAAUCCCAGCACUUUAGGAGGCCGAGGAGCGUGGAUCACGAGGUCAGGAGAUCGAGACCAUCCUGGCUAACUCGGUGAAACCCUGUCUCUACUAAAAAAAAUAAACAAAUAAAUAAUAAAAUAAAAUGUAGAGUGCUUGGUAAACUAAAGUUCUAAAUAAAUAUUAGUUGUUCUAUUACUAUGUCAGAAGUACAAGUCACAAGACCGGAAUACUUCACUUGAAUAAGAACUCAGUGCAAAGAAGUUGGAUAAAUCGGAGAAAACCACACACGUGGCCAUUGAUGCCCUUGGUUGACAGAGUUGACGGGAUUUUCUCUGGCUCUCACCUUGAGGGCAUCAUCAGCAUCCUGAAGUCACUAGCGGGCCUCUGUGCAGAUGUCCUUUCGAGGGGCUUCAGGCUGUGGAAGUGACCAGUGAACACAGGACCUGCCUGGACUCCCAGCCUCACAGCACAGCACCACAGCCUGGACUGCCCCCUGCCUGAUACUUGCUUGGUUUGGAACUUUACUCCAUCAAAACAUCCAAAUAAAAAUAUGUAGACUCCCCACCCUAUCCCAUCUGCUAUAGGGUUCUAAUUCCCCCACAGACAUCCCAUCACAGUGCUUUCCCCCAUGACGGGGGACUCCUGAGCUGGACUCCAUCCCUCCCCUACCAGAAAAGCACAGGUGCUGUGGCAUGAGUUCAACCGCCUGAAAUUCCCUGAUCUUCAGAGUAAUAAUUCUAAAAUAGGGCAAUAAUACCCCUGUCAGUGUUCUUGGAAGAACUUCUCAUUACUUGAGGCCCCAGAAAUGCAAACACUCCUCCGGUUUUCCAGCGUGCUGUCAACCCUGGCAUCAGAGCUCUUCCUGCCGUGGGCACUGGUAAUUGACUUACUGGAGAAAGUCAAGCUUUUAAGUCCCAGGAAUAAAGGAUUCCUAUUUCCUUAAGCUAUGUUUAUUUUUACGCUAUUGCUGGUAGAGUCAAUGUGUACUGAGUGAAGAUGAGGCAAGAGUGUCAAAGAGUGAUUUCCAAUAAGAUGAAAAGUGAUCUGCAGUUUCUACUUCCUUAACCAGCAGGAAACGUUUCUCCUGUAGCAUCGGACAGUGGAGGCAGUGGCGCUCAGUGUGGGGCCUCCUGGCUGAAGGAGGGGACAACACGGUGUCCCAUCUCCCUAGAUGCUGUAUGCACCUCACCUGGCUGGUGAUUUACUUGACAGAAACCCAUGUGUGGAGUAGGGAGUGCUGCCUUUGGCAUCUACCCAGUUUCUGCUCUGGACUCUGCCUCUUAGCAAGGGUGACUUGUGGGCCCAAAUCACCUGGUGGCUGUGAGCCACUCCACUCCAGCCUGGGCAAGAGUGAGACCUUGUGUGAAAAUAAAAUAAAAUAUAAAAAUAAAAAUAAGCCGGGAAUGGCGGCUCACAGCUGUAAUCCCAGCACUUUGGGAAGCCAAGACGGGCGGAUCACAUGUGGUCGGGAGUUCGAGACUAGCCUGACCAAUAUGGAGAAACGCUGUCUCUACUAAAAAUACAAAAAAUUAACCGGCUGUUGUGGCUCAUGCCUGUAAUCCCAGCUACUCAGGAGGCUGAGGCAGGAGAGUCACUUGAACCCAGGAGGCAGGCGUUGCAGUGAGCCAAGUUCCUGCCAUUGCACUCCAG